CUGGCUCAGGAUGAACGCUAGCGGCAGGCUUAACACAUGCAAGUCGAGGGGCAUCGGGAGUAGCAAUACUGCCGGCGACCGGCGCAAGGGUGCGUAACGCGUGAGCAACAUGCCCGUAUCAGGGGGAUAAUCCAUGGAAACGUGGUCUAAUACCCCAUAGUAAUUAUGUAAGGCAUCUUAUAUAAUUUAAAGCUUUGGUGGAUACGGAUUGGCUCGCGUGACAUUAGCUGGAUGGUAAGGUAACGGCUUACCAUGGCUACGAUGUCUAGGGGUUCUGAGAGGAAGGUCCCCCCACACUGGAACUGAGACACGGUCCAGACUCCUACGGGAGGCAGCAGUGAGGAAUAUUGGACAAUGGAUGGAAAUCUGAUCCAGCCAUGCCGCGUGCAAGGAAGACGGCCCUAUGGGUUGUAAACUGCUUUUGUAUGGGAGCAAUAAGGGCUACGUGUAGCCCGAUGAGAGUACCAUACGAAUAAGCACCGGCUAACUCCGUGCCAGCCGCUGC
rnacentral:rRNA from 1 species